rnacentral:lncRNA from 1 species
AGUUAUAUGAGCAUGCUUCGGCUCUUCUUUUGUUUGUUUCAUUUACUGCACAAAACGACGACCCAUUCAGCUGGUAUUUUUUCUGAUUUUUCAGUUUUUACUGAAUAUUUCUGAAGAUUGGAGGAUGGUGUCAAUAAUAAUAAAAACAUUUUUCCUUGUUACAAUUUUCGAGGUUGUACGUGCAACUCAAUGGUUGAAAAUAGAAGAAGCCAUUAAAACAGCUAAAGAAGAG